GCCCGCCUGGCGGAACAGGUAGACGCGCACGGCUCAGGACCGUGUUCCUUCGGGGGUCCCGGUUCGAGUCCGGGGGCGGGUA
rnacentral:tRNA from 2 species